GACGAACGCUGGCGGCGUGCCUAAUACAUGCAAGUUGAGCGCUGAAGGUUGGUACUUGUACCAACUGGAUGAGCAGCGAACGGGUGAGUAACGCGUGGGGAAUCUGCCUUUGAGCGGGGGACAACAUUUGGAAACGAAUGCUAAUACCGCAUAAAAACUUUAAACACAAGUUUUAAGUUUGAAAGAUGCAAUUGCAUCACUCAAAGAUGAUCCCGCGUUGUAUUAGCUAGUUGGUGAGGUAAAGGCUCACCAAGGCGAUGAUACAUAGCCGACCUGAGAGGGUGAUCGGCCACAGUGGGACUGAGACACGGCCCAAACGCCUACGGGAGGCAGCAGUAGGGAAUCUUCGGCAAUGGACGAAAGUCUGACCGAGCAACGCCGCGUGAGUGAAGAAGGUUUUCGGAUCGGAAAACUCUGUUGGUAGAGAAGAACGUUGGUGAGAGUGGAAAGCUCAUCAAGUGACGGUAACUACCCAGAAAGGGACGGCUAACUACGUG
rnacentral:rRNA from 1 species